rnacentral:rRNA from 1 species
GCCAGACUCCUACGGGAGGCAGCAGUGGGGAAUAUUGCACAAUGGGGGAAACCCUGAUGCAGCGACGCCGCGUGAGUGAAGAAGUAUUUCGGUAUGUAAAGCUCUAUCAGCAGGGAAGAAAAUGACGGUACCUGACUAAGAAGCCCCGGCUAACUACGUGCCAGCAGCCGCGGUAAUACGUAGGGGGCAAGCGUUAUCCGGAUUUACUGGGUGUAAAGGGAGCGUAGACGGCAGUGCAAGUCUGGAGUGAAAGGCGGGGGCUCAACCCCCGGACUGCUCUGGAAACUGUACGGCUGGAGUGCAGGAGAGGUAAGUGGAAUUCCUAGUGUAGCGGUGAAAUGCGUAGAUAUUAGGAAGAACACCAGUGGCGAAGGCGGCUUUCUGGACUGAAACUGACGCUGAGGCACGAAAGCGUGGGGAGCGAACAGGAUUAGAUACCCCUGUAGU